UAGGGAAUCUUCCGCAAUGGACGCAAGUCUGACGGAGCAACGCCGCGUGAGUGAAGAAGGAUUUCGGUUCGUAAAACUCUGUUGUUAGAGAAGAACAGCGCAUAGAGUAACUGUUAUGCGUGUGACGGUAUCUAACCAGAAAGCCACGGCUAACUACGUGCCAGCAGCCGCGGUAAUACGUAGGUGGCAAGCGUUAUCCGGAAUUAUUGGGCGUAAAGCGCGCGUAGGCGGUUUUUUAAGUCUGAUGUGAAAGCCCCCGGCUCAACCGGGGAGGGUCAUUGGAAACUGGUUGACUUGAGUGCAGAAGAGGAGAGUGGAAUUCCAUGUGUAGCGGUGAAAUGCGUAGAUAUAUGGAGGAACACCAGUGGCGAAGGCGACUCUCUGGUCUGUAACUGACGCUGAGGCUCGAAAGCGUGGGUAGCAAACAGG
rnacentral:rRNA from 1 species